GACGAACGCUGGCGGCGUGCUUAACACAUGCAAGUCGAACGGAAAGGCCCUGCUUGCAGGGUACUCGAGUGGCGAACGGGUGAGUAACACGUGGGUGAUCUGCCCUGCACUUCGGGAUAAGCCUGGGAAACUGGGUCUAAUACCGGAUAGGAGCCAUUUUUAGUGUGAUGGUUGGAAAGUUUUUUCGGUGUAGGAUGAGCUCGCGGCCUAUCAGCUUGUUGGUGGGGUAAUGGCCUACCAAGGCGGCGACGGGUAGCCGGCCUGAGAGGGUGGACGGCCACAUUGGGACUGAGAUACGGCCCAGACUCCAACGGGAGGCAGCAGUGGGGAAUAUUGCACAAUGGGCGCAAGCCUGAUGCAGCGACGCCGCGUGGGGGAUGACGGCCUUCGGGUUGUAAACUCCUUUCGCUAGGGACGAAGCUUUUGUGACGGUACCUAGAUAAGAAGCACCGGCUAACUACGUG
rnacentral:rRNA from 1 species